GAAUUUCCGCUCCGGAUAAGCCCCAGUGCAAACAAGCUGCAACAGCGGGCUCGGCGGGAGGAAGGAGAAAGAAGAGGAGGCGGCGGCGGAGGAGGAGCAGGGCACAUAAACCAGGGCACUUCAGUUGUCUCAUGUUUCCUUCUGUUGAGAGUUCACACUUUGCGUCGGAACUUUUGCGCACAAAUGGUGCAAUUAGCAGGCACAAAAGCCCUUGUUCGUGACGCCUGCGCUCGCAAGCUAGCUUUAAGAAAACUUGUGCUUUUUUUCCCUUUAUAUUCCCUUUAAACUCAUUUGGACCGGAGUUCGCCUUAACCCCCCUCCUCCGCCCUCCUUUAGGCGGUGUGUGGCAUUUGUUUGCCAGUUUAAAAAGCCCAGCUCUGUUUGCUCCGAUGUUCUUUUAGUUGAGGCUGUGUUGGGGCUGGUGAACUGCCUGGGCUUUAGUGACCGAUGAGGUGUUAAAUGCUAAUCCAACAUCUUUCGAAACAAACUAGGAUUUUGUUGAAACAUUUUAAAGCAAGCAAACAAACAAAUGCCUGGUUGUUCAGAUAAUAGGAAGAAAGGAUUUUUUCUUAAUAGCAUUUAAAUUACUUUAUUUUGUUUUUAAACAGUGGAGCCUGCAGAAACAAACUGGUUGGACAGUCCGAUGCUUUUAUUCCUCUCCAGCGGCCUGGGGCGUUAUGAGCCAUUGUUCCGGGGAUCCAAGUGCCCCCCCCCGCCUCCGCCUUCCCGCGGUCACCCACCGCGCGCUGGGGGAUUGCGCUCGUUAAUCAUUUCUGGGCAGCAAGCUCGGCUUCCGACAGAGGAGCCGGUCUGGCGGGGCUGCAAGGGCUAGGUGCAUUUAGGGCGUGCGGGAGCCUGGCGGGCUGUCCUCACCAGCGGCGAGGCUUGCGGGAGCUCGCGCAGGCUCGGCGAUUGGUCACGUUGCACAGAGAGACCCGACCGAGGGGAGCCUUCUGUCCCACCCCGGCAACCCCCUCCCCUGCGGGUCGCCGAGCCCUUGCGGAGGACCAGCCGCGCCUGCGCGGUGCGUUCCUUGCCUAGCACCCCGCCACCCCCGCCUCCUGGCUCAGCUGGUGCGGGGUGCUGGGCGACCCUGCGGAGGGGUGCGGAGCCAAACGCUCGACUCUGGGGUUCCGUCACGGCCUGGGCGGGGUGAGGGUCGAGGAGGAGUGCCUGUCGAGACCCCCGGCUCGCAAGGAGUGCUGGGAGUCGCAGAGAACGUCGCCGCCGCUCUGCAGGGCCCGCAGAGACAGAGCACACAAGCAGGGGAGGCGGCUGGCAGAAGAAGAAGCAGACUCCGCACUGAGCGGGGAGCCCGACGCAGGGCUCGAUCCCAGCACCCUGGGACCAUGACCUGAGCCGAAGGCAGACGCUUAACGACUGAGCCACCCAGGCGCCCCUAGCCAAAAGGGCAGUUUACAGAAAGCUUCACAGCUUUGCUCUUGAAUCUUUUGAGAAAGACCAGCACUCUUGCCACUGCUAUAUUGAAGCUGACAAGCACCGGGCAGGGACUGUCUGGGAGACGUGGGCUUCUACAGACUGAUGCCUCCUAGAGACAGGUACAGAAGGACAUUUGAAAGUGCCACGUCUUUCAUUUCACAGGGGUUGGAGCAAAGGUACCUCUCAUGCCUGCAAUGGUUGCAAUAACCUCGUUUCUUAUUAUAAGUAUACCUGCCUGAUUCUGACCAGGGAUCAAAAUGAGCAUUGUCAAAAACGGGACAGGUUGACGUUAUGUGCCCUUCGGUAUGACACGCACAGAGGAAGAGCACCACUUCCGUGAUAUUCCUGGCAAAAUGCAUAUACUAUCAUAAAGAAACCCAUCAUUCUAACCCAAACUGAGGGAGAUUCUACAAAAAAAAAAAAAAAAAAAAAAAGGUGUGAAUUCUUCAAGAACAUUGAAGUCAUGAAAGAUAAAGAACGGUUGAAGAAUACUACAGAGACAUCAAAAGUAAAUGUGACACAUGAUCCUGGAUUGGAUCCAGAAACAGAAGGGAAAAGAAAUUUUUUUUCCGUACGUACCAGAACAAUAGGUGAAAUUUGAAUGGGGCAGGUGGACUCCGUGGUGGUACCAUAUGUCAGCUUCCUUCAUCUGAGGGCUGACCUGUAGUUAUGUAGGUAAUGUCCUUGUCUUCUAGUAAAUACACACUGGCAUUUCUAGUGGGACUGAGGCAUCAUGUCUGCAACUUUUAAUUGUUUUGGGAAAAUAGAUAGAUGUGGGUGUUACUGAACCUGGACUGGAUUGCCCGAAGGAAGAACCAAGCGGCACCCGGAGAUCUUGGAGGAUCGGAGGCUUAUUUAACACCGGUGGGCUCAGAGGAGAAUGGUCUCCAAAGGUCUGAGCCCCGAGCACAAACAAAGGGGGCAAUGUAUACACUUCUAUUUCUGCAUACUUGGCACUUUUGGCGUGUGUGCGAAGCACGGCAGGGAGAAGAACCCAGAAGAGCCCCGGGGCAGGGGCUGGGACUCUCUUGCUGGCUUGGUUGGCCAUCUUAGGACACAGAUUUUGCUUAUCUUCCCCCACUUUGAUGCCCCUUUAAACACCUAGAUUAGAGGGCAUCAUUUUCAUCUUCUACGGGACGAUAAUAAGGAGUAACUGGAGUCUGAUUUUAGCAGUUUGAGUAGUGAUAAACCCAGUAAGGGCUGGAGUGAUUCCCACCGGCAAUGUACUCAUUCCUGUAAUUGGGUCAGAGUUUCUUGGACCACCUCCGACUCAUUAGCAAGGAAAAAACAUUCCUGCUGUAGGAAGAGGCAGAGCCCCCCUUGCGUGGCCGUGAGCAAGUUGAGCCCGCAUCUGUUUUGGAGGACCACUGAAGCCAGUGAAUCAAGUUGGUGCUGCAGGGCCAGGGCCAACUGAGUGAGGGCAGAAAAAUCCUCUGUGAGUUGUUGAGUUAGCCCCUGGUACUGAACCUGAGACAUCCCAACGCCAGUGGUGCUGAGGACAACACCUGAUGCAGCCGGCAGGCUCAUGAUAAGAGGGAUGGCCGCAGAGGAGCAUCGAGGGCGGCUAGGAAGUCUCCGUAUAAGUGGGGCAUCGCUCCUGGGGAGGAUUGAAAGAUUGGGUAAGAGACUGACAAGCAUGCAUGACUGAUUGCGCGGGGUGAUGCAGAUGUAUACACCUUGAUCACAAGCCAGAAAAGUGUUGUUAGGCUCACAGACCCGACUGUGACCCAUGACAGGAGAGGAAGAGUUUCCAUACAGCAGUACCAGAGCCAGAAAGGGAUAAUCUGAGGUCCCCAGUGCCGAGGUGGGAGGUGACAUGGUAGAUUGGUUGAGGAUGACACCUAGGUAUUGGAUGGGACUGGGCUUUAUACAGAUCCAGCAGUCAGACGCUAGGGGUGGUUUGAGUGGUUAAGUGCUUGGUGGGAGGCAUUAAUCACACCUAACAGUUGCGCUAUAGAUGUUUGCUGCAUGUGGGUGGGGGACCCGGGGAUGUGCCAGGGCGAGUUAUUUUCUGUCUGACUCUGGGGGUUGACUGUAAGGCUUGGAGUGAACAUGGACUUAAUCAUAAAUUUGGCUAUGGGGUCGGUUCCCAUAGGGUGAUAUUGGCCCAACAGGAGAACGAUUCCUGUAGCCCAUGAUGUGGCAUUGGGUUCUAAGACUGACAUACAUGUGAUUGUUAGAGCAAGAGGAUGGGGUGGCGUUACGUGGCGUUGUGAGACAAGAAAAUCUGGAUGUCACUGUGCUGUUUGAGGUGCCACCACCUGGUGGACCAUCAUUCCAUUCCCGGCCAAGUUGCCACCCAUGACUCACAUCCCCCAGCUUGUGAGCAGAACUGAGGGCAGGUGUUUGGCUGUUGAGGCGUAGGGCCCCCACAAAUGGAGAUAUCUACCAGCUGGUAACCUGAGUGAGCACCGUCUGUGAGGUUCCCAGGGUGUAUCAAGAAGCUGGCAUCCGGGCGCCUGGGUGGCUCAGUUGGUUAAGCGACUGCCUUCGGCUCAGGUCAUGAUCCUGGAGUCCCUGGAUCGAGUCCCGCAUCGGGCUCCCUGCUCGGCAGGGAGUCUGCUUCUCCCUCUGACCCUCCUCCCUCUCAUGCUGUCUCUCAUUCUCUCUCUCGCAAAUAAAUAAAAUCUUUAAAAAAAAAAAAAAGGCUGGCAUCCAUCAAAAUGGAGGUUAACCUUUGGUGGGUGUCCAUCCCAGGUGGAAGAAGUCAGUGGGGGUGCCGGUACGGGACUGAGGGGGAUAAGCUGGAAAGUCCAUUUGCCAGUAGCGGUGAUAUGAGAGUUUGCCCCCCUUGCCUGGCCGGACAAGCUAGAGGCAGUGCGGAGGAAUAGCACACCAGGCAGCAAAAGACCGGGACUGACUGGGGCCAGGAAAACCACGGUGAAGUGUGCUCAGGAGUAGACAGCAGAGGGCCAGUAAAAGUGGGCUCUAUGACCUUAGUUAGAGGGAGCCAUUGUGGCUAACCCGACAGCAGAUGAAACCUGUGGACAAGUAAGUGCAGUAAUACACCCUAGGGUCACCCAAUAAGCAAUGACAAUAGUGAGUCUCUGGGGGAAAGUCCAGUCAGGAGGGGCAACAGUGUAGAGUCCGAGUCACAAGAUGAGGGAAAUCAUGCCAAUGAGAGCCAGGGACCACAGUGAGCAGGUGUCCAUCAGUCAUUGGGGUCUCGUCGAAGGUGAAGCCGGAGCGGGUUUGCGAAGUCUGGCUGGACUCUCCACUGGCGUGGCUCCUCAUCUGAAUGAUGAGCUUUCUUCACUCUGGAGUGGUGGACCCAUGGGGUGACACCUGAGACCUUGAGGGCAGUAGGGGUGAUUAGAACAACAGUGUGGGGCCCUGUCCACUGCGGUUGGAGGGGGUCUUUCUUCCAAUCUUUGACCCAAACUGAGUCCCCUGUCUGGAAGGAAUGUACCUGAGACCCUAAGGAGAUUGGGGCCCUCUGAAUGGUGUACUUUUGUAAUUUAUUUAGGGUGGCCCCCAGGGCCUGAAGCUGCUCCUUUAUCCCUUUAUCUCCAACCUGAUGCAAGUUUCCUGGAAGGCUUCCCAAGCAUGGGGGAGGCCAUCCAUAUAUUAAUUCGAAUGGGGAGAAACCUGAUGUCCCGGGCAUACAUUGAGCAUGCAGGAGAGGUAGGGGUAGCAGAUCCGGCCAUGGGAGGUUAGUUUCCUGACAAAACUUUGCUAAGGUUCCCUUGAGGUUGCCAUUCAUCUGCUCUACUUUCCCUGAGCUUUGGGGCCAGUAAGCUGUGUGGAGUCUCCAGGUGAUAUUGAGAGAUUUGGUCAAGACCUGUACAAUGUCUGCUACAGAUGUGGGUCCAUUGUCACUAUGGAUUGUUAAUGGCAGGCCGAACUGGGGCACGAUCUCCCGCAAGAGGACUUUAGCUACUUCCUGGCUUUGCUCUGUCCUGGUGGGGAAGGCUUCGACCCACCCAGCGUAUGUGCAUACUAUUACUAGGAGAUAUCUGAAUGCCCUGCUCGAAGGGGGUUGCUCCCAUCCUCUGGACACCUGGCAGGGGCCGCGGUGCAGACCGAGCAUUGUUUUUAGUGCAUGUUGUGCAUUGUUCACUCGUUGCUCGGCAUAGUGCUGGCAGCUGACGGAUGUAGUAGUGCUUCUUGAGAAGGGCCUCUAAUGCAGUUUUUCCCAGAUGAGUGAGUUGGUGGUGUUCCUUGACUAGAUGCCCUCCAGUUGCUGUUGGAACAAAGAUGCACCCAUCUAGCAUCAUCCACCAUCCCUUUUCAGUCAGGGUGGCUCCCUCAGCCAUGGCCCAUUCCUUUUCCUUUUCAGUGUAACUGGGCAGAGGGACUUCUUCCGGGGGUGUCAGGGCCAUGGUGAGGAAAGGGGCUCUGUCCAUGUCCUCCCUGGCUACGGUCUUGGCUGCCUCUUCUGCCAGAUGAUUUCCCCACGCUAUGGGGUUGUCUCCUUUCUGGUGUCCCUUACAGUGCAGGAUCACUACUUCCUUUGGGAGCCAGAUGGCUUAGAGGAGUCUCAGGAUCUCCUCCUUGUUCUUGAUAGCUUUUCCUGCUGCGGUUAGGAGGCCCCUUUCCUUGUAGAUGGCUCCGUGUAUACGUACAGUAGCAAAGGCGUGCCGAGAGUCGGUGUAGAUGUUGACUCGCUUGCCCUCGAUGAGGGUGAGGGCUCGGACUAAGGCAUAUAGUUCAGCCCGUUGUGCUGACCAGCCAGCUGGUAAUACCUUAGCUUCUAGGACUUCAGUGGUUGUGGUUACCGCAUAACCCGCUUUCCAGGCACCCUCUUGUAGGUAACUGCUGCCAUCGCUAACAGCAUGAGCUCUGGAUUCUUUAUGGCUUGAUCCCGCAGAUCUGGACGACUCGAGUAGACUUCAUCAAUCACCUCGGAGCAGUAUGGUCUGGUUCCCCCUCUUCUGUGGGGAGAAAGUUGCUGGAUUUAAUGUCCUUACUGUUUCGAGGGUGACCCACGGGUUUUUGCAGAGGAGACCUUGGUAUUGUGCCAGCCAAGAGUUGGAAAGGAAGCGGUGUCCCUGUGCGUUCAUGAGGGACACAACUGCAUGAGGGACCUUGACAUUAAGUUCUUGCCCCAGGGUAAGUUUGUCCGCCUCCUUGAUGAGUAGGCCUGUGGCUGCCAGCGCCCUGAGGCACGGUGGCCAUCCGGCUGCCACAGGGUCCAGCUUCUUUGACAGGUAAGCAACUGGCCAUUGCCAGGGCCCAACAGUCUGGGUGAGUACCCUGAGCGUUAUUUUUUCCUUUUCAUGCACAAAGAGGUUGAAGGGUUUCUCUACAUCUGGUAGGCCCAGGGCUGGAGACUGCCCAGGGCGGUCUUUAUCUCUGUGAAGGCGGCUUCUGCUUCCUCAGUCCAGGCAGGGGAUUCUCCCUCUGGUCCUACUAAGAGAUCAUAAAGAGGUCUUGCUAUUGCCGAGAACCCAGGGAUCCAGAUGCGGCAGAAUCCUGCAGCCCCCAGGAAUUCUCAUAGGCCCUUUUUUGUCUGGGGCUCUGGCAGGGAGAUAAUGACCCUUUUCCUCUCCAGCCUUAGUUCUCUUUUCCCUUGGGUGAGGAGGAAACCAGGGUAUCAGACCUGUUGUUGGCAGAUUUGUGCCUUCUUCCAUGAGGCUCGUUAUCCUGAGUCUGACAGGAGCUGUAGGAGGGCCUUUGUGCCUUUUGUGCAGUGUUGUGUGUCACUGGCAAGGAGGAGGUCAUCCACAUACUGGAGGAGGGUGCACUGUGUGCACUUCCUCUCUUGGGAAGCUGGCGAGGUCCGCAGCCAGCGCUCCCCAAAGAGGGUUGGUGAGUGUUUAAACCCCUGUGGGAGGCACAUCCAAGUCAGUUGCAUAUGGCGCCCUGUAUCAGGUUAGACCAUUCAAAGACAAAAGUGGCUGGUUCUGGGGAGUUAAGCGGAAGCAGAAGAAGGCAUCCUUCAAAUCUAGACAAGUGAACCAUCUGGCCGACCUGGGGAUUUGGCCAAGGAGGAUGUAUGGAUUCAGGACCACUGGGUGCAGAGAGAUAGUCAUCUUAUUGAUGGCCUGCAGGUCUUGAACUGGUCGGUAUCCCCCUCCUGGCUUCUUGACUGCCAGGAGUGGGGUAUUCCAGGCCGACUGGCACUCGACUAGAAUACCUGCUUCUUUGAGUUUGGUCAGAUGUUCUUGGAUGCCAAUCUUAGCUUCUUGUGGAAGCAGGUAUUGCCUUUGCCUCUGAGGUUGGGCUCCUGGGAUCAGUUCAACAAUGAUAGGGGCCCGAUUCCGGGCUUGUCCAGGUGGGUUGUUUUCAGCCCAUACUGAAGGGAAGGCGAGUCUGAACUCCAGCGGGCUGCUCGGUUGGGCCUGGGCACAGAAUAGCCUCCAUUCUUCUUCCCUUGGCAUGGUAAUUGCUAGUAUUAGAGACCCCAUCUCCUCUUGCCUUGGGUUCAAUCGGAGGCUAGUGUGUCCAGUGGGCUUGGAGAGUAUGUCUCAGCCCAGGAGAGGGAUGGGGCAAUCGGACAGAUAAAGGAACUCAUGUGGGACCUUGUGGCCCCUGAGUUUGCACUGGCAAGCCUGGCAAAAGGGCUUUUGUAUUGCCUGUGUCCCAGUGGCCCUGAGGAUGGUCGCAGUCCUUUUGCUGAAAGGUGCCACUGGGGAGGUGACAACAGAGUGCUUGGCCCCAAUGUCAACCAUAAAAGUCACUGGUUGGCCCCCCACAUUCAUUUUGACCAUGGGCUCAUGGGGGCCAAGGAGGAAAGAGCCCAGUCGCCCUCAGCCUAUGAGGUCCUCCUCUCGGGGUUCUUCCUUGUAGUGGCUGGGCUUUUGAGCCUUUCCCCGGGGGGGACAUUCAUUUUUCCAAUGCCCUUUCUCUUUACAGUAGGCACAUUGAUCCCUUGCCAAGGGGGUUCUGGGUUUCCCCCCUUUUGCUGGUUGGGGCCUCCCCAUCUUUGUGUUGUCCUUUUCUUUCAGGGUGGCAGCAAGGACACUGACUUUCUUUUUCACCAUCCCGUCUUCAUCGUGUCUCUCAGGUUCCCGUGUCUCUCAUCUCUCGUACCAGCAUUUGGAGGGCACAGGCCGUAGCCCAGCUGCUGGUCCUGGAGAAGGUGGAUUUUUUGGGUCUGGGGUGCCAGUGGAUCCUCUGGGCCUGGAGGCACUAGUGAAACCAAUGGCGGCAGAGUGUCUGGAGCUGAAGGGCCAGGUGUAGGCAGUCUUGGGGGUAUGUACGGUGAGAGCAGGGUCGGUUCGUCCUCAGGAUCUCUGGCUAGGAUUUGUGGAGACAGGGGCUUUUGCUGAUUUUCUUUAGGUCGCUUGGAUGAGAUGAUUAAGACUCUGGCCUGUCCCUGUCUAUUGCAAGCGAAUAGCACCCGGGGGGGAAGGAUCUGGGCAAUUCCUAGCCAGGAGUCAAUGUAUAGAAACUGGGUCAGGGUGUCCUGGUUCUCCUGUUACGACUCACCAUACCUGACGAAUCGUUGGGACAUCCAAUGUCCCUUCUAAAGGCCACCCGACAUCAAAGGUGGGCCAUUCGAAUUCACAUAGGGUUCUCAACUUGCCGGGGUUCAUCCUGACUCCAUAGUCUCCCCAAAACCCCUUCUUGAAAUUUCUGAUCAUGGUCUCUAGAACCGUAGGUUUACUCUGCCCUGACCCCAUGGUGAUGUCCCCAUGUGUGGUGGUGCAGAGACAGACAAAGGGCGGGUGUCUCCUGAGAUGAUGAGACCAAUCAGAUGCCCGUCUGGCCGUGUCCUGAAGGAGCUUAGGUGAUACUUAGCCGUAGUGGUCUCAGCAUUGUGACUUAAUGAUCAGAAUCUAUUCCGAUGCCGCUCUAGACUGUAUGCCGUUCACCACGGAAUCGCAGACGGGCCCACUCAACUCUGUAGGCUUCUGGGGACCUUAAAGGUGCUCGCCUGUGGAGUCACAGAAUCAGUCUGCUUAAGCAAGCCAGGUCGGACUGCACAUUCAUUCGCACAUUCAUUCCAGAAGUUAUUACAUUCCCUCCCUGGGAAUCCCUACCUGUGGGACCUCUAAGAGGUCUCUGGGAGGUGAUCAGGCUCCCCUUCCACCUCAGUAGGGGUGGGCCUGUCUGGGUCCUGGGGCCUCAGGCCUUACCAGAAUCCGACGUCGGGACCAGGUCCUCACCUGCCAAGUCUCCUCGAGUCCGGUGGGAACAGCAGAGUGGGGCAGGCCCGAGGCGACCGGGGCGGGAGACUGCCGAAAAUUAGGCAGGGCGCACCUUCUCCAUUACAAUCCCUCGUUCCAUCACCACCCCGCUGUUGCCCCCAAACUGGUGGCAACAAUGGCCCAGCGCAAUUGGGUUUCCCUGUCAGGUAACCAAAUGUUACAGAACCUGGGCUGGAUCGCCCGAUGGAAGAACCAAGCGGCACCCAGAGAUCUUGGAGGAUGGGAGGCUUAUUUAACGGCGGCAGGCUCAGAGGAGAGUGGUCUCCAAAGGACUGAGCCCUGAGCACAAACAAAGGGGGCAAUUUUUACACUUUAAUUUCCGCAUAUUUGGCAAUUUUGGCGCGCGUGCAAAGCGGGGCAGGGAGAAGGACCCGGAUUGGUGCGUGCGGGAAGCAGAGCAGGGAAAAGAACCUGGAAGAGCCCCAGGGCAAGGACUGGGACUCUCUCGCUGGCUCAGUUUGCUAUCUUAGGACACAGAUUUUCCUUAUCAUGGCGGGGGGUAGAAAGAUGAUAGAUGAUAGACGGAUAGAAGAUGGGUGAAUAGAUAGAUGAUAAAUGGUAGAUAUAGAAAGAAUGAUAGAUACAUAGAUGAUAAUAAAGCAAAAGUGGCAAAAUGUUAGCACUUUGGAAUCCUGGAUAAAACGUAUAUGGCUUUGGGGUGCCUGGCUGCCUCAGUCAGUGGAGCCCCUGACUCUUGAUCUUAGGGUUGUAAGUUCGAGCCCCAUGUUGGGAGUAGAGAUUACUCAAAAAUAAAAUCUUAAAAAAAGUAUAUGGCUUCCUAUUAUUCUUUCAACUUUUGAAAUUAUUUCAAAAUAAAAAGCAAAAAAAAGAGAAAUAUUAAAGAGUAUUGUAAAGCAAGAGUCAUUAGGUUACUUACUAUUACUCUUAAAGUGAGAAUGUUCACAAUCACCAUAACACAAAUGGCAAAUAUCUGUAUCUAUGUUAUUCUAUAUAAGAUAUAGACAGCAUCUAUCUAUCUCUUUCUAUCUAUCUUAUAUAUGUAGAUGUGUGUGAUUGGCCUGGGAUCCAGCAGACCUGCUGAAUCAGAACACGGGGCUGUUUCUAGCAUUUCCAGGGGGGAUGAUGGCUCACAGCCAGCAUGGUGCAUCCCCCUUUAAGCAAGUCUUGCCAGUUCUGGGAGGUCUUGCGUAGGUCUGGGAAGGAAGAAAUUCGGCUUCCUGUCUUCUCUCGCAUGCUGUUUCACUCACUAAGGUGUAAAACCCGAAAAUGAAUGACUCAGCAGAGCUUCCUAAACUAUGUUCCUCAAAAGACUCACGUGUUCUAUGAAAACAAAAACAAAACCCCAUCUGGUCCUUGGAUUGAAGGAGUCUAUAUCAUGCUUCCUACCCUAGCUCCUUCCUGGACAGUUACUUAUUUAUUUUAAGUAGAUUUUGUUUUGUUUUGUUUUUUUGUUUUAAGUAUAGUUGACAAACUUCCAGGACAUUUACAAUAUGCAUUAUAAAUGUUUUAUAAAUGACUGCAUUUUGUGUAACUUGAUAUUUUGCAGACAUUUUUGGCCAUGGAAGGCUUUCCCUCCCAUUUAACACCGAUCCCAUGACAUCCGGUGACACUUGUGUUUCUCCUGGUUUACUUCUUCCCCAAGGCUGUGUGAGCCAUUCGGGAGGCUGAAGGGAACCACCUAAAGGUAGUUGGGCUUCAGGACAUUUGUUGUUCUCACAGCUCUGCCUUUUAGCCUGUGUCCAUUUUAUCCACAGGGUGACUUACCUCAUGCAACUCGUGCGAUUUCAAGAUCCCGUGAGUGGCAACUGGUCUCAUGCUCCUCGCUUCACAGCCAGGCAAAGAACAGAUUAUAGUCGCCUGGCUCAGAUGACCCUGGAUCCAUCACCAGAUCUUGGGAAAUCAGCCAGGGCUCACCCCUGUGGCUGGGAGGGUCCAACUCCUACCUGGGGGCCACAUGAAGGAGAGGCGGACAGGAUGGAUGUUCGGUGGGGGGUAUCAGAAGGUUCUCCACAAAGUGGAAUUUCAACAUCAGAGAGCUGAGGGCGUUGUGCCCCACUCAGGUAAACCUCUCCUUACCCCGAGCAUCCCAGAUGACCAGCAGCUUCUCAGGCAGCUCUAUACCUUAGGUGAGGCUGUCCCAGGGGUGGGGAAGAAGGGGCACCCGUGUGUAGUCCCCUCCUCCGCAGGCUGCAGGGUGGAGGCCAGGGGCAGAGAUAGGCCCACCCAGGUGCUGCUCCCUGAGCGAAGGAUAAGCGUACCAGUGUAUGGAGGUGCCUUGUGCAUUUUUGUUGCCUUUAUUUAUUCCCAUGCUUUCCCACAAUUCGCCACCCAGAUUUCCACAAGCCCUGGCCCCUAGGAGCACAACUUUUCAGGACACUCCUGAAAAGACUACUGAAUGCAGAUUGCUCUCCAGGUCCCCCUCUGCAUGUUGAAUUCCAAAGGUUAUUUCCUUUAAGCCUUAAUCUCAACCUUUUGCCUCAUAAUUUUGAAGCAAAAUCCUUCUCGAGACAGGUUCUCACCAAGUGCUAAGAACUGAACAAUGUGUCAUUCUUACACUGGCUGGCAGUAAUUUCCAGAGAGCCUGGGUGAAUUCAAGUAUCUGUGAGUAACUUAGUGUGGGUCAGCCAGGCCGCCGCUAAGAACGCUCCGACGUGAGGCUACCGCUGGAGCUUUAGUUGAGCGAGGGCACACAAGGAUCAGAAAUCAACACAGGUCAAGCUUCCCUGCUUUCCCUGUGACACAGUUAAUGUCACAAGUACGGUGCUUUCACACGCCUCUGGCUGGCUUUGAACGUGCGCCAUCCCUCAUUCAUCACCCAAAGAUGAGAGACAGGAAAGUGCCCAGUGCCUGACCCACAACAGAUGUUCAGGUAGGUGUUCUUUCUCCCCUUGCUUCUCCUGUCUCUUCCUUCCCCCAGAACACUGUCCCAGAAGAAGAGAUCCAAGAACUCACUGAAAAUUAAUAAAUUAAUGUAACAAGUUACUCCUACAGGUCGCUCUCCUUUUGCCCCUCUGGAAAUCAUCAGCCCCUUAUAAUUAGGUCACUGCCUAAUUCAUUUGAUAAAUGACUAUGUGGUAAGGGAUGUCAUGUCCCCCACACACAUACACACACACAUUUUUAAUGUGAGAUCCUCGACACCUCAAUGCAAAAUAGUGGUAAGAGCUGAGAAUCCCAGGCUUUCUCCUCACCACCAAGUGCUUGCUCCUCUCUUAAAUCAUCCCUAGAGGUGAAUUGCUUGGAGAGUUUUUAGGGUCAUUUUAUACAAGUGACCCUGCACAGCCUAUAGUUUGUCAAAUAUCUGCCUCAGAGAAGACUCGGAGCCUUACAAUUCUGAGAGUCUCUUGAGACUCAGAAUUCUGCAAGGCCGCCUCCGAUGUGUGAGACUCCUUCGGUCCCAGAAUUCCUUCUGCGUUUACCAGUUCGGCAGAGGUAAACCACAGGAUCAGAGUCUCAGGGUCAGAUCCUCAAUGUGCUGUUCUCUGUUCUAAGCUACAAAUUCCCUGCCAAGGGGUAAUCUAGCUUUCUCUGAAACACCUCCAGGAAGGAACUACUCUCUAUUUCUCAAGGAAGUCCAUUUUGCUUUCAGAGAGUACUAAUUGUUUGAAAGUAUUCCUUAGAUCUGGUUAAAGCCUACCUUUCUGUCGUUUCCACCUCCUUCUACCUUCGGAAAGAAUUUUUUAAAUGCCCAGGGUUUCUCUCUAGCAGCUUAUACCCAGAGCCUGCCAUUCCGUAUAAAGGAAUCGUAUGCUCGAGCAGGCGGGCCUGCCCUCUCCACCAUGCCCAGCCGAGGGAAGCAACAUACUUCCCGGUACCUGAAUGGCCAUGUUCUGUGUGGCGCCGCCAUUCUGGUCUACCUAUGGGCUGAUCCUUGGCCUAUGGGAAGCGCCUCACAAGUGUUUGUCUUGCUAGGGAUGAUGAUGAUUUAAUUCAUCAAUGAAAUUGUUUCUCUCAAGCAUCUGGACUAGAAAAAUGGGGAGAGGUCAGUCAGAAGGUAACAUCGGCAAAGCAGAGACAAAACAAAAAUCGCCAAUUCCUGUUAGUGAUGAAGCACCAGAAUCAGAGUUCUGCUGUUGGGGGUAUGGUACGACGGGUUACCUAUAAUUGUGAUGGACUCUAACAAUACAGUUCAUAUCCUGCACUAGAUCUUAAGUACUAGGCUCAGGUAGGCCCGGCUAGACCGUAAUUCCUCUCUUUCCCAACAAACUUGACUAUGAUUCUUCCUGGGUUGCCAUAUUGCCCGGCACUGUAAUUGAGAUUCUUGCCUUCUGUAUUUUCACAUAGAGUCUUCUAAAAAUUUCUGCGUCACCUAAAAUAAACCAAAUGAAUCUCUAAGCCUUGAACCCACAGAAUUUAACUAAGAGUUCUCACAUCUUCCAAGUCUUCUCUCCUCCAAGAUAAAGAUCUCUGAACAUUUAAGCCAUCAUUAUGGAAUGGCUUCCAAUCUCUUCCGCUUCUCAGCUUCUCUCCGCCCCAUCUCCCCUCUCUGAAUUUCUCAGUCCCUCCUCCUCACCUCCAACAGCCAGCAUCACAAAUGAAGCAGAUCAAAUGGCAGCCCAUCCUAAGUGUGUCCUGUGUGUCUCCAGCAUAAGCAAAAUACUUGUAUGAAAUCAAAUGUCCAUCUUCUUUCCAUUUUUGGAAUGAUCAGUGGAAAGAUUUCCCUACUUUAUCAGCCCCAUGAAACCCAAGGAUUGUUAGAACCAAACCUGUGAACUGAAUUAAAAUGGAUGAUUAUCUGCAUUCUCUUAAAGGGAAUAUGGUGUGGAGCCUUCUAUUCAUCUCCUGACUACCCCUUUUCGCUGGAUGAGAUUAUCGAAAGUAUUGGCUCUCAUUUCAAUUUACUUAGGUAGUACUGGGAAAAGAAGUUAAAAAAAAAAAUCUGAACUCCAGAUAAUGUGUUUAAAUUGAUUAUCUGAAAAAAAAUAUAAGUGUUCUUACGUGUAUCCACUUUUUUGGCUGCAAGUAAUAGAAAACCUAAUAAUUACAUAAACUAUAGGACAUUCUUUACUGCAGUAUCUAAAACUGGGUUCGGGGUCUGUCCCCCCCACCUUGUUCCCUGCCCAGUACUCAAGAUUAGAAUCUGUAUUUCUUCCUCCAGAAUUUUGCUUGACAUUUUCACAUAACUAUGUUUAAGACUGCAAGUCCUGAAAAUCUUGAGCCACCAGAAGACGUCCCCUGCCAUCUCAUUAGUCAGGAAAGAGACACUUGGGCCAGUCUGAGCUCUAAGGGAAGCAAGGAAGUGAGUUUCUGGCCAAGGGAAGAGGGGUUGUCAUGACCAGGCAAGGCAUCUGCUUCAACGCACUUAGAAUGCUUAAAAUGAGAGUUUUAUUUUAUUACGGAAAUUAAUACGUCAUUAUUAAAGGAAGUCUGGAAAACAGAAGAAAAAACAUUUCCUAAGGCCCCCACCCAAAGUCUUCUCCCAAUGCACGAUGUACUACUGUUCUAAUCGUAUGGUACAUAGAGAAUGAUUUGCCUUUCUUUGUUUUUUUUCUCAUUUAACAUACGAUUAUUUUAAAGCUUGAUGGUUUUUGAAAUACAUUUACUGUCUUGAACGAAAAUACCAAGUAGGCAGCAGAGAACAGUGGAGGCGGCGGGGGCGGGGGUGGGGGGUUAGGGGAGGGCCUGGCUCAGGAGCCAAGAGGGCUGGCCACGGCCUGGGUCCUGGCUCACAUUCAUCCUGCAUUUCCGUUUCCUCAAGAGAAAGAGCUGUUUCCUCAGUUCUACCAUUUCCGAGUCCACGGGAUCAUGAGAGCUGUGCCCUGAGACACACAAGCCACACUGUUCAGACACCGAUUCAACGGAGCAGCGACCGGUCACAGAGACAAGCAGACAGGGGGGACUGGAAGGUGCUGCCCUGGGCACGGGACGUGCCGUACGUAAUAACAGAACAUAGAAUACAUGAUAAAUGACCAUCACGGAGUACCAGAUCUUCCCGUUUUUGAACAGAACCCAGAAACCUGGAUUUUCAUGUGAACUUGUUUCAUUUUUAAAUGUCGGUACUUAAUUCGAAAUACCGCAGAGGAGCAAAACAGGCCUGCCCGGAGCCGACUGGCCACUCCAGCAACAGCAGCGGCCAACCUGACCAACGCCAGAUUCAAGGACAUAGACAAGGGCGUUCUGGGGAGCUGCUUCUAAGACAUUUUGGCUAUACAGCGACUAGGUUAUUGCCAUAAGUCUAAGACAUCAAAUGCGUAUUUUAAUGGUGAAUAAAUAUUAGGAUUUUAUCGCCUCUGGUUUCUCCCAUCGGCAGGAUAAGGACUUCCCAUUGCUUCUUCCCAAAUCCCCUGAGCUUACAGGUGCUCUCUUGAAUAUGUGCUGUGUUGGAAACAAUGAGUCAGGACCCUCCUUGGCCACAACUCCUUUCAUAUUUAUAUCGUUCAUGAUCCUACCUGGUCCAAAAUCCCCAUCCUGCGUCUUUUUGCCUGACUCAUGCGGUUUAUGGAGAAACCGGAAAGGAAAAUGAUGAAAGUCUUAAACAGGUGUUCCCUGGGGUAAAAACUGCCACCUUAAACAGUUUGUUCUCUUCAAUGCUGCUAAUGCUGGGUCUUUAAUCUCUCCUUUUCAGAGAAAGAAUGAUCAACAUCAGGGUGACAGGGAGCCCCUGUGCUUAGCAGUUCUGACUCUCACUCGCUGAAAGCAGGGCAGAAAGAGGAUUUAACGACUUUGAACUUUUUACGUGAUUUUUGCCUUCGGCACAGUUGUUGUUAAAUGAGUUCUAAAAAGGCAACAGUCCCCUACAAGGACAUCAGGUUUCUAAAUGAUUCAUCUUCUCACAGACCUUGAUAUUCAAUCCAGGUGUAGGACUAAACGGUAUAGCCCUCGGGGUCUAUCCUUGGGGCUUGGAAAGGCUUCAGUGAAAUUCUAUCGCAAAGGGCCCAGGCGCUUCCCCUGACUUUCUCUUUGUUCUACUAACUUUUUAUCUCUGAAAAGCAAAGGGAUUUCCUUUGGGGAUUAAGCAGAGGAAACAACCUAAGGUGGUGAUUAGUGUUUCAUUAGAAUUAUGAGAUGCAAAGGUAUCCUGGAGUUAACUGAGCAAGAAGCCCUUUACCCCAGUCUUGGGCCUCCUCCCUCUUACCCAGCUGAGAGCUCCACAGCCCCUGCCCAUCUGAAACUGAUCUUUCUCCAGGCCACAGGAAGAUCCUGGGCAAACACAGAGGUGUCUCAUCCCAAAGUAAUGACGUGCUGCCUUUUUUUUCCCCUUUGUAUCUUUCAAAAGGUUUUACAGGUAUCCUUUUGUUAACACAAAAUCAUUUUGUAAUAGAUAUUUAAAAAUCAGUAAGUGCCAUUCUCAUCCUGCCAGGUCAUGUUUUUGAGUCACUGAAAGGAACAGAGGUUAUAGAACAAGGCAGAUGAUUAAUUUUCUUAAUGAUACAUUUGUACCAAGUAUGUGACAAAAGAGAAAUGCUCUUAAGAAAUACCCUUCCUGCUCACAGAGGCCCAUGUGCUGCUCUCCUAGCCACGCUUUUUAUGCCAAACCAGGAGUCUGCAGAAGGAUUGGAGUAUGUCAAGAAAAGGAUUUGUGUCAAAGCCUGACAUACCCAUCUCCUGUCAACACAAGGCUAGAUAAAAAGUAUACAUACAUUUCGACUCAAGAGCCACGAAAAGAAUCUUGAAAUAAGCAAUUACAUGAAUCACAUUCCUAUUACAUUUGUUUCUCCGAUUUUUCCACUCCGCUUAGUGGCGGACGUUUACUUUAAAACAGUGAAUGGUAACCCGAAGGACCAAAUUCUAAGUCAGCCACAUUUUUAUUAAUUACUUUUGAACUAAAACAAGUUUUCUUCUCCUUUUGGCUAAUGAUUAACUUUAAAAUUUUCGAAGAGCAAACUAUUUUCCAUAUUUUUUUAUGUGAACUUUUGUUAUAUUUUCCUUUCACUUUAUUACGGUUGCUUCUUACAAUUUUAGGAAGAUCCUUGGCUCAUGCUUUCAUUGUUUCAGUGGUAUUCCAUCUAAUUUGACAGGUUGCAUUUCUAUUUGCACUACAUUUUGGGGUUUCUUUACUGGCCCAAAUAUUAUUGAGGAGUUUAAGUUUUCUUUUUCGUGUGUUCUGUGUGAUUAAGCAUUUUAUUUGGUUAUUUCUAAUUUUAUGAUUUGCUCUCUGGAUAUAUGGAAUACAGUGUUGUAACUUCCUUUAUAUCAUGUAGUCCAGAACAUGGUCAAAUUUUGUUUAAAAAUACACUUGGACAAAAAAGAAAAUCUGCUUAUAUUUCCAUAUAGUUCUUUGUACACAUGUUAAGUCUGCCCUACUAGUUUUGUGCAUUAAUAAAAUUCUAUUUCUGAGCUGUU